CAGAGGGUGCAAGCGUUAAUCGGAAUUACUGGGCGUAAAGCGCGCGUAGGUGGUUUGUUAAGUUGAAUGUGAAAGCCCCGGGCUCAACCUGGGAACUGCAUCCAAAACUGGCAAGCUAGAGUACGGUAGAGGGUGGUGGAAUUUCCUGUGUAGCGGUGAAAUGCGUAGAUAUAGGAAGGAACACCAGUGGCGAAGGCGACCACCUGGACUGAUACUGACACUGAGGUGCGAAAGCGUGGGGAGCAAACAGGAUUA
rnacentral:rRNA from 1 species